AAUCUGUAGGCUGUUCUUUUAAGUGUUACUCGUAUGAGCUGAAGCCAAGGGAGAUGAAAUCCAUAGAAUUUCCACUCCUUUAAUGCUGCCUGACGAAAUUAUCUGUAAAUGGUUCUUCUGGGGGAUUGUGUGUAGCUUUUCGCACUUUGCCGAACGACAUGGUGAUUGGCCACGUGAGGCUGCCUUGCUUAGUCACUGUGCUCCGUACUAAUGCUUUGUCCUGCUUGUCCACAGAGCAUUAUGCAUGUGGUGUUUCACGACUGCCGCCUGCAGUACACAGAACAUCAGCAGCUGGAGGAAUGAAGAUGGAACAUCCCGGGGACAGGAUCCUGGAUAUCGCUUGAUAUGGUUGCCUGCAGACCAGAGAACGUCUUAAGUAAAGUCUGACCACAGUCUGUUUGAUAAUUGACCUAUGAUAUCUGAGGAUUUCUACAUUACCUUUGUAUCAACUUUAUAACAGGUCUGAUACUGAAGUCUAAUUACUAUUCAGUUAUUAGGUAUUUAUCAUUUUAACUAGUAAUUUCGAAGUAACUACCUGGUAAAAGGCGGGGUGUAAAAUAGAGCGUUACAAUUCCUUCUUGCCUGCUGUGAUUGAUUGAUUGCUUCGUUGACUGAUUGAUUGUGUCCAGAUAUUCUCCUCUCUGUGGGUGUCGUCAAGCCUCGUGCCCACUUGCUGCAGCUCAACACUGUAAAGUUUCUCUGGGAUCCUGUCAAGAACGCAUCCGUCUUCAUUCAGGUCAACUGCAUUAGCACCGAGUUAACCCCUAGGAAGCAUGGUGGGGAGAAGGGAGUGCCCUUCCAUAUCCAGAUAGACACCUUCACUCCGAACAAGCACGGAGAGUACCUGGAGCAUGUGCAUUUCUCCAACAUGCUUACAGAGUGUUCCUUUUGGCCUGAUGCCCCAAAUCUCAGUAGCACUAACUGCACUCCUUUCCCAGCCUACCACAGCUCCCCUACUUCAUGUAGCUUCACUGAUGGGUAAAACUAAAGUUUCAAGUUUUAUUAGUAAAAUGUACAAAAUACACAUGGUAUACACCAUCCAACGAAGUGCUUACUUUCAGGUUCCUUCUCGACAGUGCAACAACAAUAAGAAGUAAUAAAAUAUAAGAAUACGAACAUAAAUUAAAUGGCUCAGUAGAGUAGAACAAUAUUUUUUUUGUUUUGUUAUGCUCUCUACUUGUCAGUGUUCCAAACGGGACAUUAUUUGUAUUUUUACCUAAACAUCCAAAGGCCAUCAGAUAUAAUUCAUAGCAAGCAGACUCAUAGCAAAAUGUGUAGAAUAGAUUGAUUUUAACUUUAAAACUACACAUUUUCCUCUAUGCCCAAUGGCAAAAUGUGUAGAAUUGCCAGAAAUUAUCUUUUAAACAGCAACAUUUUCUCUCAGACUUAUGGAGAUUAGCUUUAAAACUGCAAUAUUAUCUCUUUGCCCCAUGGCAUUUUUUUAUUUUUAUUUCAGGAAGUUAGCAUAAGUAUAAUACAGGAAGGCACAAUUUAUAGUCCGAUAAUUACAUGUGUUUUGGGGAAGGGGGGAUUUGGAGGCAAGUGUUUAAAUUGUGCAGUAUUUAAUUAGCAAUAAUAAUAAUAAGAGUCUGGUAGCAGCAGGUGUGUGCGUGCGUGUGCGCGUGCACACAUUUUACUAUACUUGUGAGUACCAGAAGUAGUCACAAGAAUAGUAAACCAACUAGAAUUCAGAGAAGUGAGGAGGCUAUUUUAGGCUAAGGUGUUAGGUUUAGGGUUAGAAUUAUUGUGGAUGUGGGUUGUGCUUUGAGUGAGUACAUGUGUGCUAACACCUUUCCUAUCUGGAUGUAUCUAUUUGCAUCUUUGGCAGUUUAGUUGCACAACCCAUUUUGCAAAGAAUCCUUAUGUAGGAAUCCUUAUGCCAAAUGCCACGACCCCACUUACGUUUCUUCUCCACAAUGAGUCUGGAUAUGAUCUCCUCCCCGACUACUUCUCAAAUACAAGCACAUUUAAGCCAUUUUAAUUGGUCCCAGAAACCGAUGGAUUGGGCCAGAGCCUUAACACACAUGAUUUGUUAGAAAUGAUCGAAACGCUGAUGACUUGUUUUGUACAAUGCCCCUCACUUUGAUGUCAGCAGAAAGGACUUCUGCGGUGGUAGUCAAAGACUGAAUGUAUGUAGCGAUAAAUGGAUUGAUGGAUGGAUGGAGGUAGGUAGGUAGAGCAGCGGAAUAAAAUUCAGUACGAGUCGUCAGGCAAAUGUAGGACGAGGUCUCAGUUCAGCCAAAUUAGAUCCUCCAUUAUCUACCGUCCAAAUCCAUUGGAACUGCCUAUUUGCACUAGUCUAAUCAGCACAAAUCAUUACUCAAUGAACCAACUCUUGUUCUCUUCCCCAUUUGUGUUACACUUUACUUUUAUAGCAACAGCUCUCCAAUCCAGCAGGGGGAGCUGAUUUUGUCUGGCUGCUCUUCUGAGUAAGUAACAGCAGGAGUAGUAUUAAUGCCGUUGCUCUCAUCUCUUAUCUUUUUAGGUGAUUGUUUAGAGACGAUGGGCAGUCAGUGGGUGCUAUAGCUAGAUAUUUCAAUGGCUCUUCUUCUUUUUGACAUGUAGCACCUUGUGCCAUCGUCCUCACCGCAGGACACGCUGCAGUGGCUUCAGUGUCACAGGUUUCCGCCUUUCUGUAGGAUCAUCUCCACUUUCUCAGGCGCUGACCUGUUGAAGAUGAGCAGGGAGAAACCUGAUCCAAACCUGUGGUCUGGCAGAUGGCAUCCAACUGUUGAGCGCCAUCAAAGGAAGCAGAUCAGCCACCUCUACAGACAAGGACCUACUGGGAUCCACAUGCUGGUCUCUGAUGAGAUGAAAAUAAUGACGGCUACCCUGUGGCUCAGUUGGUAGAGCAUGGUGUUUGCAACGCCAGGGUUGUGGGUUCGAUUCCCACGGGGGGCCAGUACGAUUUUUUUUUUUUUUUUAUGUAUGAAAUGUAUGUAUUCACUACUGUAAGUUGCUCUGGAUAAGAGUGUCUGCUAAAUGACUAAAAUGUCAAUGUAAAAAAAAUGUUGUGUUGAAGUUACUAGAGGAAAGUUCUGGAGUGAAUUGUUUCAGAUCACUGUCCAAGUGUCUGGAACCUAUAGGGCUUGUUGAGGAGCAUUAGACUUUGUAUCAUUAAAUGGUGCAAUUCUAUAGAUUGUUCAUAGCUCGCCCCUAUAUAUCAUUUUUCUGUCCAAACAAUGCAAUAACAGUAAAAAGGCCCUUGAGACAGAUUUUUUGUUUACUUUUGUAUUUUUUAAAUUAAGUUAUUGAUUCAUUUUGAUGAGUUUUAAUGUAAUUAGUUUGUAAAACAUGGUUAAUUAUAAAUACCUUUAUUACUCCUGCAAAAUUGACCUGUUUUUUAAGUCAAUACUAUGACAAUCAAUUUAAAAUCACUCUUAAGUCAUGUUUGUCAAAUGUAUCAUGAAGUGCUGUUCAAAGAAAUCCAAAAUACUUUAUACUACAUUGUCCUUCCUUUGGUACAAUCUAUAGUUUUUGAUUUGUUUGAUGUAACGUAUUAGAAGGCAAACAUUAUUUUCCGCGGUAUCCGUACAGUAAAUUGAGUGGGGACUGUGAGAGCGAAAUUACAAGAUUAUGUUAUAAUACUGUUAUUGCAUCAAAUUGUUGUUUUAUGGAAUCUAAGGGUGGUUCGUCGACCAGCCAUCGUUAUUAUUCUAUGCUUUCCUUAUUAAUACAUUUUGAAUAAAGUAAUAUCCUGUUUGGUGA